GAUGAACGCUGGCGGCGUGCCUAAUACAUGCAAGUCGAGCGAAUGGAUUAAGAGCUUGCUCUUAUGAAGUUAGCGGCGGACGGGUGAGUAACACGUGGGUAACCUGCCCAUAAGACUGGGAUAACUCCGGGAAACCAGGGCUAAUACCGGAUAACAUUUUGAACCGCAUGGUUCGAAAUUGAAAGGCGGCUUCGGCUGUCACUUAUGGACGGACCCGCGUCGCAUUAGCUAGUUGGUGAGGUAACGGCUCACCAAGGCAACGAUGCGUAGCCGACGUGAGAGGGGGAGCGGCCACACUGGGACUGAGACACGGCCCAGACUCCUACGGGAGGCAGCAGUAGGGAAUCUUCCGCAAUGGACGAAAGUCUGACGGAGCAACGCCGCGUGAGUGAUGAAGGCUUUCGGGUCGUAAAACUCUGUUGUUAGGGAAGAACAAGUGCUAGUUGAAUAAGCUGGCACCUUGACGGUUCCUAACCAGAAAGCCACGGCUAACUACGUGCCAGCCGCCGCGGUAA
rnacentral:rRNA from 1 species